rnacentral:rRNA from 1 species
GAUGAACGCUGGCGGCGUGCCUAAUACAUGCAAGUCGAGCGAACAGACGAGGAGCUUGCUCCUCUGACGUUAGCGGCGGACGGGUGAGUAACACGUGGAUAACCUACCUAUAAGACUGGGAUAACUUCGGGAAACCGGAGCUAAUACCGGAUAAUAUAUUGAACCGCAUGGUUCAAUAGUGAAAGACGGUUUUGCUGUCACUUAUAGAUGGAUCCGCGCUGCAUUAGCUAGUUGGUAAGGUAACGGCUUACCAAGGCAACGAUGCGUAGCCGACCUGAGAGGGUGAUCGGCCACACUGGAACUGAGACACGGUCCAGACUCCUACGGGAGGCAGCAGUAGGGAAUCUUCCGCAAUGGGCGAAAGCCUGACGGAGCAACGCCGCGUGAGUGAUGAAGGUCUUCGGAUCGUAAAACUCUGUUAUUAGGGAAGAACAAAUGUGUAAGUAACUAUGCACGUCUUGACGGUACCUAAUCAGAAAACCACGGCUAACUACGUG